AAGAACAGCCCUGCUGGAAAGGACUUGAAAGUAGUAGUAGAUGGGAAAUUUUCAGGACCAGAUUUGGUUUGAGCACCUAUCAGUUUGCUCACAUUUGGAAAGGAGAUGCAGCUGUACUGAGAAAAUGUAUGUCAUCCAGAUUUGAGACAUGAAGAAUGUAAUGCUUAACUAUUAGCUUGGCUAAUGUUCAGCUGAGGUUGUGGCCCUUGCUGUGAAUGAUUUGGGAUGUGAACUUCAGCACCAUGUACUGAAGGAUGACUUCAUGAUUUGGAUUCCUUACACCUUUCAUUUCAAGACAGAAAAAUCUGCUUUUCAUUUCAGAAGUAUUCCUCAUUUUCCUAUUUCAUUUAUGCUGUCACAUAUGACAUACAUAUAGAGAAAUAUAGAUAUAGAGUUUCUUGGCACUAAAUCUGUUGCCAUCUGCAUUGUAAACUAAAUCAUAUCUAAAUAUAGUACCAGAACAAAACAAUAAUUCUAUAUCUAAGUCAGAGUGGAUAUAAAAACAAGUGAUAAGAGAAGAUUCACCUGUCACUUUCUGUUAUAGAAAAGAAGGACCAUGAUUUUUUACAUGGUUCUGUGCAAGGUAGACUGUUCAAAAAUUUGCCUCUAUAGCAAGAGCAAAAAAAAAAAAUUGUCAUUCAAAAUCACUACAAUAAACCAGUUGAUUUGGUGUUAUACCAUGCCUCUAGCAGUAGACAGUGUUGGACUGAAAAAAUAAACAACCAACCUUGUCAGUUCUGCAGCAUAUUACACAUUAGCCCAUGAGGAUUUUCUCCUGCAAGAACCAGCUGAUGCGCUGCUGCUGCUGAUACCCUACUGCAGUUUUGGGCGCAUCAAGACUAAGCCCCAUUCUAUCUUUUGACCUGUGCAAAUCCUUAUGAAAGCCUAAUGAAUGUAUUUUGUGUGUUGUUUUUAUAUGUAAUACAUCACUUUUUUCUUUUUUCCUGAUGACAGAUUUUUUUGCAUGUGGAAAUAAUUAUGCUUUUGGGGACAGAGUAGAGUGAAGUUAAUUCAUGAAUGUGUUGGCAUCUAAUAUACAGUUAGCUUUUGAAUUAGUUCAUCUGAAUAAUAAUAUUACAAAGUAAGUGCACGGGUGCUUCCCUGUUACAAUUAAUUAUUUUCUUUUUGAACUUUUGUUUUAUGGAAAUGGGGGCAAAAAUAGAAGAAACAUUACAGUUGAAUACUGACUUAAGAUUCUGUUC
rnacentral:lncRNA from 1 species